GGGCUCAUAGCUCAGCUGGUUAGAGCGCACGCUUGAUAAGCGUGAGGUCGAUGGUUCAAUUCCAUCUGGGCCCA
rnacentral:tRNA from 1 species